GACGAACGCUGGCGGCGUGCUUAACACAUGCAAGUCGAACGAAGAGCGACGGAAGCUUGCUUCUAUCAAUCUUAGUGGCGAACGGGUGAGUAACGCGUAAUCAACCUGCCCUUCAGAGGGGGACAACAGUUGGAAACGACUGCUAAUACCGCAUACGAUCUAACCUCGGCAUCGGGGAUAGAUGAAAGGUGGCCUCUACAUGUAAGCUAUCACUGAAGGAGGGGAUUGCGUCUGAUUAGCUAGUUGGAGGGGUAACGGCCCACCAAGGCGAUGAUCAGUAGCCGGUCUGAGAGGAUGAACGGCCACAUUGGGACUGAGACACGGCCCAGACUCCUACGGGAGGCAGCAGUGGGGAAUCUUCCGCAAUGGACGAAAGUCUGACGGAGCAACGCCGCGUGAGUGGUGACGGCCUUCGGGUUGUAAAGCUCUGUUAAUCGGGACGAAAGGCCUUCUUGCGAAUAGUGAGAAGGAUUGACGGUACCGGAAUAGAAAGCCACGGCUAACUACGUG
rnacentral:rRNA from 1 species